AGCGGGUAUACCCGCUGAAACGCCGUCUAUUUUGAGCGACUUUCAAGCCCGGCAAAGCCAAUGGAGAAACAUGCUGCGAAAUCCUGAUGCGGCCCAACCUCACCCAGACUCUGCCACCAGCAGCCCACAGUUAAAUUGAGUUUGAGACACCAAUCUAAAUAAUUUGGUUGUAGACUACAUACAAGUUUCCCCCUUCACCUUCCCCUGUCUGUAUGCACUCUGCCACCCUCGUAUCCAUACCCACCAAGCCUGGAUGGCAGCAGGUUGAGGAGGGAACUAACGAUCUCCAGCCGCCUCUUGUUCAUGUCACGGCAGCACCUUAUCAGCUGCCUCGGUGGCACCCUCUCCCCAGCCGCCUCUCGCCCAUACCUCGACGGCCCUCAACCCCGGGCCGCCUCUUAAAUACGCCUCAGCAGUGCUUGACCAGCAGCUGCAGCAGCCGCCGCCUCUCGACUAUGCCUCAGCGGUCCUCGACCAGCAGCCUCAGCAGCCGCCGCCUCUCAACCAUGCCUCAGCGGUGCUCAACUAGGAGCCGCAACUGCCUCCGCCUCUUGACCAUGCUUCGGCAGUGCUCGACCAGCAACAGCAGUCGCCGCCUCUCGACCAUGCUUCUAUGGUGCCCGACCAGCAGCAGCAGCCACCGCCCCU